AAGACUAUAGACCUGCGGAGUACCUGCGGAGGGAUCAUUAAAGAGUUUAACUACUCAAACCAUUGUGAACCUUACCUCAACCGUUGCUUCGGCGGGCGGGCCCGGGCCAAGCCCGGCGCCCCCCCGGCCCCUCGCGGGCGCCCGCCGGAGGUUAACCGAACCCUUGAAUUGUAUGGCCUCUCUGAGUCUUCUGUACUGAAUAAGUCAAAACUUUCAGCAAUGGAUCUCUAGAUCGGAAGA
rnacentral:misc_RNA from 1 species